UACGGAGGGGGCUAGCGUUGUUCGGAAUUACUGGGCGUAAAGCGCACGUAGGCGGCUUUGUAAGUUAGAGGUGAAAGCCCGGGGCUCAACUCCGGAAUUGCCUUUAAGACUGCAUCGCUAGAAUUGUGGAGAGGUAAGUGGAAUUCCGAGUGUAGAGAUGAAAUUCGUAGAUAUUCGGAAGAACACCAGUGGCGAAGGCGACUUACUGGACACAUAUUGACGCUGAGGUGCGAAAGCGUGGGGAGCAAACAGG
rnacentral:rRNA from 1 species